CCCCCACUGAUGUGCACCGAAGAGACACCGUCAGACUUUGCGAGUUCCUCUUAGAAUCCCAAGAGUUAAUUUCCCAUCAUGAGGCUACUGUUCCUUCUCUUUCUCCUCCUUGUGUGUCUUAUCCAGACGACAUCAGGGCAUGAAAAAAGGGGGAAAUCCCUUGAAUGUAAAAAACUGGGUGGUGUCUGCAAGCACCAGAAAACCCACGGAUGUUCCAUCCUGCCUGCAGAAUGCAAAAGUCGGAACAAACACUGCUGUAGAAUCUAGCUGCGGCCUGGAGGGUCUUCGGAGCCGCACAACAGACUCACCACCAAUGACUUCUGCUGAAUAAAAGCACCUGCACUCA